AUGUUCGACCACUUAAAUACUAUCAUUGUCGAAGAUCUUAUUCAGAACAUGAUCAACGAUGCAUUCGGAGUUGAUAGGAAUCAUGCAAAUGAAAUACCAUAUGUGUCAAAUUUGGAGAUUGACCAAGAAGAUUAUGUGAUGCCAAGUGCAACUCAGGAAAGAAAUGAAGCCAAGGAGUACUAUGAAUUGGCUAGAGAAGGAGAACAAUCUUUAUAUUAA